UGUAUAUGCCCAUGGGGGUUACCUGUCCUGAAUAAACAACCGUCCCCGCAGGGCCCUGGUGUUCCCCAUCCACCCACCCCACCUCAGCUCUCUGACUCAGGGGCUACAAGGCCUCCUGCUCCUGAGAGGAGAUGAAUACACCCAAUCAAACCAGUGCUCUCUGUCCUGGCCCUGUAUCAACCCGCUGAAGAAUGGCAGCAAAUCAGUAGUUUGAUUAUGUAAAGUAAAAGUAAGUAUUGAUGUUAUGUUUAGUUAGUUAACGACUGACUGAGGGAUGGGCCGUGUGGAGGAACAUGAUAGGUGCAGGGCAGAGCGUACCCCUUUAUAAUGGUUACAGGGCAGAGUAUACCCCCUUCAACUACACUGUAGUAUAGAGAUGGGAUUAGGUAUCUAUUGUGAUGGAGUAGAAAGCCCCUGGACUCUCAGG
rnacentral:lncRNA from 1 species